UACACGUCUUAAUGACUUUCGUCAAACCCCCUGAAGACUUCUCAGAUACCGCACGAAGCGUAUCGCGCAUACUCACUACUUCUUCAUAAUGCAGGCGUGUCACAAGAAGCUUGUAUUAUAUGCUCAAGUAAUAUUGAAAGUUGCUGCGAGAAAUCACUUUCUAGCGCCAGCUGCUUCAUCCCUAAUCCACCAUCUUCAAAGUCUGAAGGUAUAUUUAAUUGCUAUAAGUGGCUCCUCAAAGGGGUCUUUUUUAUAUUUCUUAUUGUUUCGCCGCCAUAGGUAUUCGUAUAAAUGAUCAGUGAAAUUUUCUGUACUAUUAUAAUUAUAAUUGUCUUUCUUAAAAAAUCUCUUAACUGCUCUCCAUUGAGACUCGAUUCUUUGAGUAUGUGUUCCAUCUUCAAAAAAUACAUCUUUAAAAAAUUGGUCAGUCAGUGUUUAAUUUAUAGACAUAUUUGAUAGCUCUAAUUAAUGGGUCUUUUUUAUAUUGUUGCGCCGCCAUAGGUAUUCGUAUAAAUGAUCAGUGAAAUUUUCUGUACUAUUAUAAUUAUAAUUGUCUUUCUUAAAAAAUCUCUUAACUGCUCUCCAUUGAGACUCGAUUCUUUGAGUAUGUGUUCCAUCUUCAAAAAAUACAUCUUUAAAAAAUUGGUCAGUCAGUGUUUAAUUUAUAGACAUAUUUGAUAGCUCUAAUUAAUGGGUCUUUUUUAUAUUUUAUAUUGUUUCGCCGCCAUAGGUAUUCGUAUAAAUGAUCAGUGAAAUUUUCUGUACUAUUAUAAUUAUAAUUGUCUUUCUUAAAAAAUCUCUUAACUGCUCUCCAUUGAGACUCGAUUCUUUGAGUAUGUGUUCCAUCUUCAAAAAAUACAUCUUCAAAAAAUACAUCUUUAAAAAAUUGGUCAGUCAGUGUUUAAUUUAUAGACAUAUUUGAUAGCUCUAAUUAAUGGGUCUUUUUUAUAUUUUAUAUUGUUUCGCCGCCAUAGGUAUUCGUAUAAAUGAUCAGUGAAAUUUUCUGUAUUAUUAUAAUUAUAAUUGUCUUUCUUAAAAAAUCUCUUAACUGCUCUCCAUUGAGACUCGAUUCUUUGAGUAUGUGUUCCAUCUUCAGCCACAAAGGGGUUGUCUGGAUCAGAGUGGUUGACCUUCUUAUGAAGGUAUCCAUGCUCAGACAAGCAAUCAUAUGCUCGCCAGAAGUCAGUGUGGAUGGUCGUGCCAACUUCUACGUGUUUCUGUAUUAGGGGAACUAAUACUUCCGCUGAGCGAAUAUUAUCUGAGCACACUUCCAAUCUCAGAUCUUCUGAAUUGUCUUCAAUCAUACCAAGGACCCAAUGGCCCUCAAUAUGUCGUCCUACAACAAUUAAAGAAUUAAAAUAACACUCUAGGGGUAAAACAGACUUGUAACACAAUCAAUGUUGUCAUUAAUGCGGACCUAACAUAACCAAAAUCUAGUUUACAUGUAGAUAAAUAAUAAUUAAUGUAACAGUUAACAUGUAGUAAAGAUAUUUUGCACUUUAUCACUGUUCACACAGGUUAUUUAAAAAAAAAAUUAAUAUACUACCCUAAGAUGAUGAUCGUCCUCAAAAGCCGGUCUAGCAAGCGUUGUGCUUGUAGACGGUUCAGGUUCAGUACCACACCCAUGUCCACUAUUUUUAGACGCCAUUACACGGAAUUUGAAAAUGAUCGCAAGAAAUCUGUAUAUAAAGCCAAGUUUUAAAAAAAUGCUAAUAAAAUAACGCACAUUCACGUAAAAAGUAACGGCUUUUUAACGGAUAUUUUGCACUUUAUCACUGUUCACACAGGUUAUUUAAAAAAAAUAUUAAUAUACUAACCUAAGAUGAUGAUCGUCCUCAAAAGCCGGUCUAGCAAGCGUUGUGCUUGUAGACGGUUCAGGUUCAGUACCACACCCAUGUCCACUAUUUUUAGACGCCAUUACACGAAAAGUAAACGUAAAAAGUAACGGCUUUUUAACGGAUAUUUUGCACUUUAUCACUGUUCACACAGGUUAUUUAAAAAAAAUAUUAAUAUACUAACCUAAGAUGAUGAUCGUCCUCAAAAGCCGGUCUAGCAAGCGUUGUGCUUGUAGACGGUUCAGGUUCAGUACCACACCCAUGUCCACUAUUUUGAGACGCCAUUACACGAAAAGUAAACGUAAAAAGUAACGGCUUUUUAACGGAUAUUUUGCACUUUAUCACUGUUCACACAGGUUAUUUAAAAAAAAUAUUAAUAUACUAACCUAAGAUGAUGAUCGUCCUCAAAAGCCGGUCUAGCAAGCGUUGUGCUUGUAGACGGUUCAGGUUCAGUACCACACCCAUGUCCACUAUUUUUAGACGCCAUUACACGAAAAUUGCUGAAUUUAACUAAAAUCUAUAUUACCAAGCAAAAUACAAAACUUAGAACAGCUAUACCUCCCGAAGAAAGGCUGACCGUUACAAUAAGGUAAGAUAAAUAUUAAGUAAGUAUAUGAAAUGAAACAAAUUAUUGAUUAAUUACUUAAGUAUAUUAACUUUUUAUUGAAUAAAAUUAUCAUUUUUAAUUUUUUAUUGAAUUAAAUUGCUGCAACAUUUCCUCUGUUAUCUCAAUUAACUGAACCUAUUCUGAAAUAUUUUGUCUAUUUCCUCAAUUGAGUGUGCUGUUACAGUUUCAGUUGAUUGGAUUGGACGUAUUUGAGUUUCAAUAGAUUCUGCUGUCUGUAUGGUCGGAUAGGAGCUUGCACUGUUUGAAUUCGUAGUAUAUCCUUGGUACACCGGCGGUGACACAUCUCCUGUAGGUAUGCUAUAUGUUGUAGGUGAUUGUUCGUAUGUACUAUAGCCAGGAUGGUUGUAAGAAUACGUUUGACUAUGUUAAAUGAGUUACAAUAUUUGAUUUUGUAAAUCAAAUUCAUCACUUCGAUUCUGAACUCACAAUUUUGUCUUUCAUUUAGGCUCUUAAUUUGAGGAAGUAAAGAAAGUAAAAAUUUCGUGUCGGCAUCUUCUUCGGCUGCUUUAGGUGACUGUUGCUUUUUGUUCAUUGCUGUAAUUAAACUCUGUUGAAAGGCUGUCAUUUUAGGUCUUUUUUUCCUUUGAGAGGUCCUUGAAACUUCUUCAGUUUGAGGUGGUAUAAAAUUCUCAGUUACAGUUUCUUGUGCGUUUGCAUUUCUUGGUUGAGUGUUUAUUUUAUUUCAUCACAAGAAUUUUCAUUUUGGUCAUUAUCGCCUGCCGGAGCGCUUAUGUUCCCCGAUGAGACCCGAGACUCUUUCACCACAUCCAAGAAUCGCAGCAAUGCAAUGUACGAGUUUUUACGUUUCUUAGGGGCAGCACUUCCACUUCUUGUAUUAUCUUGUUUUUUUUCUUUUACGUAAUAAUCUCUUAAGUGCUUCCAUUUCUUUUGAAGUUCAUCCACUGUAAAAUUAAAUAGUAUAAGUACAAUAAAAUAACUAUAAUUUAUCUAUACCACAUAUAUGCCACAUAUGGAAAAUCCGCUUCGUUGACCAUCUCAAGACUACAUUAAACUAUGUUUUCACAUAGUGUAUUAUGCCUGCAUUACGGAUGUUAUAAUCCGAAAAUCCUAUAUUGUGGGUGUUAUGACUCGAAGGUCCUGUAUUGUGAGUGUUAUCAGUAUUGUGUCGUGAAGAACCAGCAUAGAAAUUAGUUUGUUCCUUGAUUUCUUGUAAUUCAAAUUCAGACACCAUGUUGAAUAUUCUAGACUUCAGAACAGAUUGUUGUAACGAUUUAAUUUUUUUACAGUUUUUGCAAUGCUCGAAAAAAACAUGUCGAUCUCAUCAUCCUUAUUGGUAUCUUUUUCUUUAAGUAAAUAUUGUUAAAGUUGAGCUGAUGCUGGAGUACAUUCUUGAGUCCCUUUGAAUCGCUUUCUUUUAGGUAUGUGCGGAAACAAAUGAGAGUUUCCUGACAUAUUUGUUGAAGCAGAUUCUGUUCGGUGGGUAAUAUUAACUUCUGGGUCAUUCGAUAACAUGAAAGAAUCAUCGUGAUUAGACACGUAACCUUUUAGAAUAUAAGCCUAAUAUAUGUAGGUACAUACCCAUAGACUUAGUAUUUAUACUGGCGUAUAGACGAACUGGCAGCUCGAUAAAGCGUGACUAAUUUUGAUUUGUCAGUGUGCAUUAGCUAGUGAUGUACCUUUUACUUUGGAGGACUAUCGAUAAUUUAUUGAAGUUAGAUGUUCGACCCUUGGAGAAAGUUGUUCCAUACACUGUUUUUGUCCAGAUUAUAAUUAUGACAUUAUGUAAAAAAAAAUGCAUUAAUAAAAAAAACAUCUUUUUU